rnacentral:rRNA from 1 species
UAGGGAAUCUUCCGCAAUGGACGCAAGUCUGACGGAGCAACGCCGCGUGAGUGAAGAAGGAUUUCGGUUCGUAAAACUCUGUUGUUAGAGAAGAACAGCGCAUAGAGUAACUGUUAUGCGUGUGACGGUAUCUAACCAGAAAGCCACGGCUAACUACGUGCCAGCAGCCGCGGUAAUACGUAGGUGGCAAGCGUUGUCCGGAUUUAUUGGGCGUAAAGCGAGCGCAGGCGGUCAAUUAAGUCUGAUGUGAAAGCCCCCGGCUCAACCGGGGAGGGUCAUUGGAAACUGGUUGACUUGAGUGCAGAAGAGGAGAGUGGAAUUCCAUGUGUAGCGGUGAAAUGCGUAGAUAUAUGGAGGAACACCAGUGGCGAAGGAGACUCUCUGGUCUGUAACUGACGCUGAGGUUCGAAAGCGUGGGUAGCAAACAGG